AGGCUACCCACUCCAGUAUUCUUGGGCUUCCCUUGUGGCUCAGCUGGCAUCAUCACAUGAUCAUAGCUUUCACACAAUCUGUCACCUGAACAACUGGAAUUGAGGCUAAGAACCAGAUGAGAUAAGCUUCAAAACAUGGAAAAAGAAUGGAGGGGGAGACUACCUCUGAUUCAUGGAGUAUGCAUUUUUAAUCCCAUUGCACAGAUAUCUUAAUUGUCUAGUUGACUUCUUUUGGAUAGUUUAAAGGUCCACCAAACUUAAAAUAUCCACAAUCAAACCAUGUCCUCCCCUCAAAGCCUGGUCCUAUACCUCUUCAUUUAGUAAAUAGCACCACCAUCUAUUCAGUGGCACAGUCCAGAAAUCUGGGGUGAAUCCUUAUCCUCUCCUCCCUACUCCCCUCAUCCAAUACAGCACCACCUCAUGUUGGUGUUAUCUCCUAAACAUGUCUUUCGUUCAUCAUCUUCACCAGCUGCCCAUUGCCUCUGAGCCUUCCUGUUUGUGAAAGAAGUGAUCAUGUCCCUCUUCUCAGCUAAUAGUUUCCUAAAGUUCCAUCCUGUAUUCAGUCCCUUCUCUAAUCCAUUCAUUGAUAUUUAUUCAGAGUGGUCUUUAAACUAUAUAAAUCUGAUAAUGCCAGCAUCCUUUGAAAAAAAUGUCCUGUGACUUUGGACUGUUUUAGGAUUAAAUAGCAGCUAACAUAACUUACGCGGACUUGGGUGGUUUGGUCAUUUUACAUCUUGUCAUUCAACAUCCUCACUCUGCCUGCCUCCGUCAUUACCGUGCUGUAGCCACAUGUUCUUAAUUCUUUCUAUUUACUGUUAUUUCCCUUCUAACUCCCCACCAAAUUAUAUUACAUUUUUUUAUAUUCUCUGCAAGCAAUAUCCUUCCCUCCUCAUUUGACUAAUUUUAUUACCCUUACACUUUUAUCACCCAGGGAAAUCUCUGACGCUUUAGAGUGGGUCAGACUUUGCUAUAUGGACUGGCAGAAAAUAGAGAAUUUCUUCUUACUCCUUGUCACAAAUGGAGUUUUGCAUUUACUUGCUUAAAUAUUUAAUUCAUGUCAAUUUUUCCUACCAAAUUGUAAGUUCCAUGAGGAUAGGGCCAUGUCUCAUCACUGUUUUCCCCGGAGUUUGGUACAGAGUGAAAACUUAAUAUUUGUUGAAUGAAUGAAUGAAAGUCUCUUACAUACAGCAA
ensembl:lncRNA